rnacentral:lncRNA from 1 species
GCUGUGUGUGUGGUAUGUGAUAAGCUGAAACCAUACCGAGCCGGGCGGUUUAACUGCUUUACCAGCCAGAUGCAGGGGGUAAAAGGAUGUGGAGCCAGGCGCUAUAUAUACAUAUAUAUGUGUACACACACACACGGCCCUGCUGCCCGUAGGGACCCGGCCUAGGUGGGCCGUGGCGCAGCUCGCGAGCCGGGUGCUUCCUGCGCUGCGGGUGGCGCUUCCUGAGGGGAGCCGGCAGGGCGAGCGGGGCCCGGCCUCGCUGCCGCGGGGUGCUGGCCGUGGGCUCCGUGCCUGGGUCUUCCCAUAUUGUCCCAGGCUGGGGGCGCCAGGCUCGGCCUGCCUGCGAGACGAUGGUGCUUUCUGCGGUGAUCUCCGAAUUGUGUCAGACGCCGGCAGUAGCACGGCAGCUACAGGUAUCUGCGCUGUGCAAAUCGUCACGGCACGCCAUGCGUGGGGUGAAAACAGAGGGCAAAAGGGCUCUCUGUGUUCCUGGCCAAAAGCCACCGCAACAGACGCACGUUAGUGUCCUUCUUCCCUCCCCCUCUUUAGAAGGGGAAUACGUUGCAAAGGCCGGAAUAGACUUUCAAGGCUUUCUCUGCACGCUGCUGGUUUGAGCUCUCGGGUUGCGCCCUGGUUGUCUUCCGGCUUUUCCCAGGAGCAGGAUGUUUAAGGAAAACGCAGUUGUCUCGCAGCUGUUCAGGAGGUGAGAGCUGAAGGAGAGCCCCCUGCUGCCGUGGGGCGCAGGCAGAACUCGUGGGACGUGGCUGUGCAGGCGCCGGCACAGGGUCAGAGUCCACCGCCUGCUGCGGCGCUGGGGGAGCGCUGCCGCGCGGUAACUGCAUGCUGAAUGGUGGCUUCUGUGCCUGCUCGGCUUCCUCCUUCCACCCCCUUCAGACACAUCUGUCCUGAGCGUAACCUGCUGUUGCUGGCUGCUCUGCCAAGCCAAACCUACAGGGUGGCGGCAGUGUCCCUGGCUGGGUUUAGGGACUGCUCGGGGACAGGGCUCUGCUGCUGCCCUCCAGGUGCAUUUUUUUUUUUUGAGGAAGAGAAAUGUUUCCCACCCAUUCUUACAACCCCAGGAGCUGGGGGUUUAGGACACAGAAUAUUCCCAGGGCAUGCUGUGAAUCCUGGCCUGUGAAUCAAGUAUUUGUGGGUGGGAGGCUCUGCCCAUGCACCCCUGCAGAGGUGUGAAUAUUUGGAGAGAAAGCCUGUGCCCGAUGGACACCAAAGGCCUAUCUGUGCAGAAGGUGCGUUUGAGAACAAACCCCUUGCUGGAUAGCUUAUGGAAGCUGCUGCUGCUCCUAGAGCCACCAGCAGAAAAAGAGAU